rnacentral:rRNA from 1 species
GAUGAACGCUGGCGGCGUACCUAACGCAUGCAAGUCGAACGGGGAUUUUUAGCAAUAGAAAUUCUAGUGGCAAACGGGUGAGUAACACGUAGGGAUCUACCCUGGAGCGGGGAAUAACGGACCGAAAGGUUCGCUAAUACCGCAUGAUGUCGCGAGACCAAAGGAAUUCGCAAGAGUUUCACUUCAGGAGGAGCCUGCGUUCGAUCAGGUAGUUGGUGAGGUAACGGCUCACCAAGCCGAUGACCGAUAGCUGUUCUGAGAGGAAGAUCAGCCACACUGGGACUGUGACACGGCCCAGACUCCUACGGGAGGCAGCAGCGAGGAAUAUUGCACAAUGGACGCAAGUCUGAUGCAGUAACGCCGCGUGGG